rnacentral:lncRNA from 1 species
UAUCGGUAAUUUUAAUAUCAUGUAGAAUUUUUAUAUACCAUUAACAAAUUAACCUUUUGCAACUUGCAAAACACUAACAAUUGUAGCAAGUAGGAUAUGAUUAAGACUUAAAACACUAAUAGCAGCAAUAAGAAGAAAGACGAAUGGUAGAACUAAGAAGAAAGGUACUGAUAUCGGGAAUAUAUCGGUGAUAUAUCAAAAUCGCCGAUAAUAUCGGUACCGAUAUUUGACACCGAUAUUUUAGAUGGGGACUAAUAACCGAUAUAUCGGUGAUAUAUCACCAAUAUUAACUACAUAGAGUACCGGUUUUGACCAGUUAUCCAAUCCCACCCGCCUAUAAGAGUGGAAAAGCUUCUAUACUAUCAUUCAAAGUCCUUAAAAGUAAAAAAAAAAACGUUCUACAUUCCCCCAAUUAAAAGGUUUGUUGCCUUGAUUAACUAAUGAACCUCAAUUGAACGCCAGUUGAAAUCAAUGUGAAUUCUCCAUUACAAAAUUUCUUGCCUUCGCAGCUUCGGAUGUUAGACCAGAGCCCAGAGCAUGACCAGGAAAAGCAACACUUCUUCCUGCAUAUCGAAAUGAGAAAAAAAAAACGAGUGUUUAAAUGCAGGCAAGAACUUAAUUAAACAAAAUUUAACAUAAUAAUCAAAUUUUAUGAUCAAUGUAAACAUCAAGGGUAUACAAAAUAAAUAAAAAAAGGAAAAAAAUAACAUCGAACGAAAAGCACCAAUGCCACACAGCUGUCGGCGGCAAUUAACACCGGAAAAGCUCGUAAAAACAAAAUAAAUAAAAAAAGAAAAAAUAACACCGAACGAAAAGCAGACGUAAAAUCGUUGCGGCGUGUUAAUACGAAGAAAUUAGACCGAAACGUAAAACAUAAAAAAGAAUAACUUAAGUCGAUCUAGGCCUCGCGCGUUGCGACGAACCUGUCAAAUGGGGAAAAAUAAGCGUGUUGCGACGGGCCUGUCAAACGGGAAAAAAUAGACGAAAAACGUUAAACCCCACACGCACGUUGCGGCUUGUUAACUUGAAAAAAUUAGAACGAAACGUAAAACUAAAAACUUGCGAAAGAUGAAAAGUAUGGGGAACCAGAGUUGAAUAUAAAAAAUUGUUGGGGUAAAAUUGCAAAAGAUGAAAAGCUUUGUAAAGGAAAAAAAUCAAAGGGGUUAGAAUGCAAAAUAUGAAAACUUUAGGGUUAGAAAUGAAAAAUCAGUUUAAAAAAAAAAAAAAAAAAAAAAAAAAAACCCUAUGCCCAUGGGGCACAACACCAUGAAGCACCAAGAAGUUGCUAAUUUAUACUGA